UUUGUUGUAAGACUCCGGCAGCCAUUUUACGAAGUGGAUUCACACGAGAACAACAGGGAAGUUGUGCGUUUGGUCGACGGUUACCGAGUUGCGAACAGAAUUGUCUCUGUCUUUAGUAGCGUUUAGAGAGUUUUCACCUUUUCGGGUUUUUUUUAUAUAUAUAAAAUUACGAUUUAAUUGCCUCUCAGCUAUGUCUCGGGACCGGUUCAGGAAUCGUGGAGGAUUCCAGCAGCGAGGCCGCGGGGGUAUCGGGGGAAUGCGGGGCGGAAUCGGGAACCCAAGUUUCCGCAAUAAUCCACAGCAACCGUUUCAGAACCGUGGCCCUCAACCUGGCGGUGGUUUUAAACCCGCUCAAGCAAAUCAAGUUACCCCUCAAAAACCGGAGGGACCUAAUGUUACACCGAAGCCCGAGAUGAAGUCGCCUCCUCCUUCUCUUCCUCAGCAGCAGCAGCCGCCGCCUCAGCAACCGCCUCAGCAGCAGCAGCCGCCUGAUGCACAGAAACCUCCAGCUCCACAACCGCAACAAGUCCAACCACCUCUUGUUCAACAACCACCAAUUCAGUCACCUCCACCAAAGAACCUUAACCCGAGACCAGAACCCUCAACACCACAGAAUCAACCCCGAAAGAAUGUAAAUCAGCACAAAACACCAAUGAGUGGAAAUGGACAAAAGCCUCCGACCAGUGAAGGCCGUGGAUCCCAUGCAGCUGAUGCCCCCGAAACACGGGAAUUAAGGGCAUCGCUGUCAAUGCUGCGGAAACCCGGGGAGAAAACCUACACCCAGAGAUGCCGGCUGUUCAUCGGCAAUUUGCCCAACGACAUUACGGAGGACGAGUUCAGAAAACUGUUUCAGAAGUAUGGAGAGCCCAGUGAAAUCUUCAUUAAUCAAGGCAAAGGUUUUGGCUUCAUACGUCUGGAGUCACGAGCUUUAGCAGAGGUCGCAAAAGCUGAAUUGGAUGAUAAACCGAUGAAAGGCAGACCACUCCGGGUUCGGUUUGCUACCCAUUCAGCUGCAUUGUCUGUGCGUAAUCUUUCCCCAUAUGUCUCCAACGAGCUUCUCGAAGAGGCUUUCUCACAGUUCGGAGUGGUAGAAAGGGCAGUGGUUGUUGUGGAUGACCGUGGACGCUCUGUCGGGAAAGGCAUCGUUGAGUUUGCUACCAAGCCGGCAGCUAGAAAAGCUCUUGACCGGUGCAAUGAUGGAGUCUUCCUACUCACUUCGUCACCUCGUCCAGUUGUUAUUGAGCUGUUGGAACAGUUUGACGAUGAAGAUGGUCUGCCAGAGAAGCUUGCUCAGAAGAACCCAAAUUAUCAGAAAGAGCGAGAACAGCCGCCACGUUUUGCCAGACCAGGCACUUUUGAGUUUGAAUACUCGCAACGAUGGAAGUCUCUCGAUGAGAUGGAGAAACAGCAGAGGCAACAGGUGGAGAAAAAUAUCCGUGAGGCGCGUGAGAAGCUAGAGGCAGAAAUGGAAGAUGCCUACCAUGAGCACCAGGCUAACUUGCUGCGACAGGAUCUUCUUAGGCGUCAAGAGGAAUUGCGACGCAUGGAAGAGAUGCAUAAUCAGGAGAUGCAAAAACGCAAGGAGAUGCAGAUUAGAAUUUUGUUUGGCAGGCAAGAGGAGGAGCGCCGCAGGCGGGAGGAGGAAAUGAUGCGACAGAGAGAAAUGGAAGAACAGAUGAGGCGUAAGCGUGAGGAGUCCUAUAGAAUGGGUGGUUUCAUGGAUAAUAGGGAAAGGGAGAUGAGGAUGGGUUCUGGAGGUCUUGGAUUGGCAGAUAUGCCUUUUGGUGCUAACAACCAGAAGUUUCCAUUGGCCAGAAUGAACUUUGAUGGUCACCAGGGACUCGGAGGACCAGUGGCAGGGGGCAUGGUGCCCAACGAAAUGCUCUGAAUGGCUUCUACAUUUACUCAGCAUCAUGGUGGAAUCACAUGGAGGUUCAGUUGGAACUGACAGGUCUGGCACCACACAUGACACACACAUUUAGUGGUCAUAGUUUUAGGGGGACUUCACAUACUUCUCUCUUCAAAGGCAGGUUAUGGAAUUAUGGAACCAGAUUAUGGAAUUUUUCAGAACAUCUUUUGUAGUAUGAUGCCUGAAUCUUUCAUUAAAACCAAAUUGUAGCUUUGAGCUUUUGUUUUCAGUAGAUUCUGACAAUGCACAUGUCUGUUUAAAUUCUGUAAUUUAAGCUACAAUUUAAACCUUUCUAAAUGGUUAAAUAGAUGUUAAUAGAUUUUUUUUUUAAAUUUUGUAAAUUUGCAGAACAUUUUAGGUACAAGUAGAAAUGUAGGAAACCCCUGGUGCAAGCCAGUAUCCGUAUAUUUUAUUAUAUUUACCAUAAUAUGCUGCUGUUGCUAACCUGAACUUCAGUAGCAUUAAUAUAAAUCCUUAGAUGGAUGAUGGCCCUGUUAAGAUUUGUAGGACUGCAAAAAAGCAAAAGCAGCCCAAAGGUUUGAUUUAAUGUAAUUAACUUAUAAACAUUUCUUUACUAUAUUUGCUUUUGGAAAGUCAAAUGUUUAUCUAUGACCAUUUAGCACAGUAUAGGUAAUAUGAUUUUUCUGUUUUGUUUUUUUUUUCUUUUAAAUUUAAAAGUAAUGUUUCAUCCAGAUUAAACCUUUUGCUCCCAACAAAGCAUGUCUUUAAAAAAACAAAACAAAAACCCUGCUUUAAAUAAACGAAUAAAAAGAUUUAAAUUUGUCGUCUCCAGUAGCUAUACAAUGGCUGCUGGUAUGUACCGGUUGGAUACAAAAACUGCUGCUGUUGAUCCUUACUGCAACAUUUGGUCCUGUAACUUAGUAAAUCGAAAUGUUCAGUACGUCACAUGUAUAAUAAAUUUGUUCAGUAAAUUUAGUGUUGUAACUGCUGCCUUUAGGGAUAACAGAACUAAUGUAUCUGCAUUAGAUAUUUUAGACACUCCAUAAAAUGGCUGCUUUGUAUAAAAGCUUUAGGCACCACAAGUGUCCAACUACAUUGGAAAUGUAUAGCGGGUAUUCAAAGGGUCAUUCCUAACAAAAAACCUGAGUUAUUAGGGCUGAUGUAUCUUAAUUGGGGUAAGUUCCAUUAGCACUUUGGGCAGCAGAACACUUCGUUUAUACAGUGAUGGAGACCAGGCUGGGCUCUGGAACACCCUUAGAGCAAGUAAAUUUGUAAAAUGUAAAUUUAAGCCUGGUUCUCUUUUCAAUGAGCAUUAUAAAAAAUUUAAUUGAACAAGAAAUCAAUAGUUAUAGUGGGUUUUAGAAGUCAUUACACAGCUUGCAAGUAGAAAAUGUGUAUAUUAAUGAUGGAUUUAAACUUUAAAGAGCAGUUCCAGUGGACUAUCAUGCAUUGUUUGCCUCUAGCCAUUGAACACCUUGAUGUAAUAACCUGGUCAGGAAACCGUAAGACUCUAUGUUAAUUUAAGAAAUUAAUGCUUAUUAUAGAUGUAUUUCUUAUUUUCUAAAGCUUGAUUAAAGCCCUUAGCCCUACCUAGUGGCAAAUGGUCUGUCGCUACAUGUUCUUGUAACUUGUUAGUAGAAAAACCGUAUACAUGUGUGAUAACUUGUGCUGCUUUAAUACAUGCUCCUAUUUUUAUCAUGCUGAUUUCUUCAUAUAAUAAUUGGCAUUUAUAGUUAUGAUUGCUGUGAAAUUUAAGGCUUUGUGGAAUUUAUAAACAGCAAAGACAUGUGGUUUUGCAAUAAGUCAGAUAUCAAACAAAUUUUCCUUUGCAUUUUCCCAAUUUUUCUGUAAAAAGGAUGUUUAAAAGGACAUUUUAUUGAUUUCACCUGCAGGUCAACUUUCCAUGACUAUUAUAAAAUUUAAGAUUCAGUAUACCAUUAGAUUCCUUGCUAUAUAAGCUUAUUGUCUAAAACUAGUCAUGGACUUUGACUCAAGUUUAAGGCAAGUGAAAGUCACUGGAGUUGCUCUUUAAGCUUGUACGAAACACUUGAAUAAGAUUAGACAAUAGAAAGAAGAGAAAAAAACUUUCAAAUUCAUGGAUGGAUAAAUGCAAAUACUGGUCAGGGACUAAAAAACCAUGAUGCAGUCCUAUUUGAAGUCCAGUUAGGUAUAGAUUGUGCAGCUGUAGAAAACCAACAGCAGGGAGGUGAGAACUCCCGUAAUGCCAAUACUCAAUAUCUGACACAAAGCAAACUUUGUCGGCAUCCAAACUUGCUAUUUCCAGUUCUUUGUGAGGAGAGCUUGUCUCUGUGUGUGUAACGUGUAUGGCAUGGAUGGUGGUGCUGUAGCUAAGCAGUAGCAGCCAAUGUCCAGCUUGCCCUGCUCCACAGUUGACACUCCAGCAGUUGCUUACAAUGACACAAGAUGAGUAGUUCUUCAGAUCAGUGGACAGUUGAGCCUGGACUUGUUUGCAUCGAGAGGUUUGCUUGCUUAUCAUCCAAAAAAAGGUAAGUGCUCAUGUCUUUUGUUCAAUGAUGCUGAAAAAAAACAGGGCUGCUUCACCUCCCUGAUUCACUUCACAUGCUGAAUUUUUUGGGGUUCUGGCAUCACACUUCUAAACAUGGAUUCACAGUGCAGAUGUUUGUUGUGGACUCAAUGUGUAACAACUGUUUUAGUUCUCUCUGAACUGCAUGUAGCUGGCUUCUUGGACAGUGAUGGACUACUGUGAAAUGCCUGAAAGUAAGCAACUGACGGGGAUGGGAUGGUGUAUGGGGACGGAUGUAGUAUUGUUGCGUUGAUGUACCAUGGCAAAUUUGUGUGGAAACGGGCAGGGGUGGGCUUGACCUUGAGAAUGAUGAGAGCCUAAAUCUUGGAUUUUCUCCAACGUGUAUACUACUUCUGCCAGAUCCGUGUCCUGACUUGAAUGCAUCACUGUACGUUUAAACAUUUUCAGUGCAUUUCCUCUGUAACAUGUCUGUCUGAGUUUAGGGAAACUUGCUGUGUGAAUGAAGUGGGAAAAUAAUGAAACCUGAACUACGAAUACACUUCCAUUUAAGCUUUUUCAAUAUACUUUCCCCACAGAUUUAAUCACAAAUGCUAGUUCACUAAAGGGGAAAAUGCACAGGGCUUAGAAGCACAUACAUGUAUCUUUUAAGUUGCAGCUACUUUUCUUUAAAGAAACAAACAAGGAUCCACUUAAGUAGUGAUGACAUUUUGCAGUGUUUUUUUUUUUUUUUUUUUAAAUAUUGCUUGGUGCAUAUUCUUGACGGUGGGUUGGAGGUCUUAAAGAUCAUGUAUCCAUAAAACCAAAAUGUUUUAUGGUCGUGUGCAUUAUUUUGGAUCAGUGGAUUACAAAGUAGUCCACUGUUCACUGUAACAUUUAUAUCGUCGCUGUCAGGCGGAAACCUCGUAUCUCCAAAACCGUUAUUUUUCAGGAAAUUAAAAAACGCUGUACCUUAUCUGCAAUGCACAGGGUUUAGUCCGCGUUGCAGUGGAUUGUCUUGCACUAAAUCUCUGUCCUCAGACGAGCACCAGAGCUAACGGGUCAAGAUUUUUUUUCUUUGAGCCCAGUGUUUAAGACAUUUACCUCAGAAGACGUGUUGAUUCGUUGCAACUCUUCUUGAGGAGAAAUAUGCCGCGAAGCUCUCCCGCGGAGUGAGGAAGAGGUGGACAGUUGAAGUGUCCAAUGGAGUUAUGAGAUUUGCGCUCAAGCUAUUUUCAAGACUUUAGAUUGGUUAAUAACUUGUAAAAAUAACAGACCCACGUGGGGACUGACCAAUAGCAUCGAUAUGUGAAAAAAUAUGAAAUUGACCAAAUUUGGACAUACGAGGUUUCCGCCUGACAGCGACGAUAUAUAGACUGUAACGGAUUAUUGCAACAUGAAUCGAAGGUCACAUAGUCUAGAUAAGAACCUCCAUAGCAGCCCAUGGCAACAGAAUUCCUUGGCUUUUACAGAACCUACAUUUACCUGGAAUAAGUUCGUUAAUGGAAGACCUCUUCAUGGUGCAAGCCUCAGGGCUUUCUAUGGGUUGGUUGGUUGGUUGGUUGGUUGGUUGAUCAAAAAAAUAAAACCUUACUAUUGGCUGAACCAAAAGUCACUUUACAUACUUACCCUUUUUGGUACCUUUUUUCUAGAUAACCUUUAAGAGUGUCUGACAUAUCAUUUGAAAUUAUUCUCAAAGCUGGAACGGGAAGCUGGACAUGUCAUUAUAUGCAUAACACCAAGUUGACUCUCUAGGAUACUUGAUAAGUUUGUAUUGCUCAAAAAAACAAAUCCUAGCGUCUGUUAGUCCAGAAACACAUCCAGCUACUAAGCAAGCUUGAAUCUUCUAUUUAUUUGUUUUAUUCUACCUUAAUAGCUAAACGUACUUUGAAACCUUUUGGAUAUUACAUUUUGCUAUUCCGAGUACUUGACACAGUUGCAAUUCCCAUACCACUUGACUUGCCAUCGCUAUUCACCGUUUCUUUUCCUGCUUGGUCUCCCACUCUAGGUCCACUAUGAUCUUUUUUUUUUGUGUGCAAGUUUCCACUCAUUUUAUUAAGUGUCCUGAAGUACGUCCUGAAGUACUGCAUCAACAUUUUACUGUAUGCAUCCUGACACACGAUGUGCCUCAGUACAUACACUGUGAAGACAAGGUGGUGUUGAAGCUUUCUAGUGGUUUUGGCAGAUUUUGUUGUCCAGGGAGGUGUGUGUCUGUUUAUCUGCACUGUGAUCCAUCAUCUCAUUCUCCCUUCCCCGGGCUAGAGUUGCCUUUGCUUUACCCAUUAUAGAGUGUGAUGCCAGAACUGCCCUGUUUGCUUAACGGCUGCCUGUGGAAAGGCAGAAUAUAACCUCACACCUCAGGAUCUACACUUCCAGAAACCCAGCACUGUGUAAAAGGUGAUGUCUGUUUAGAUAACUCAUUAUGUGGUUAAUAUUGGACUAUACAUCAAGCAUCAGCUUCACACUUAGUCUCACUCAAUUUAUCAGCAACAUUUGAGAGUUUUUUGUUUUUCUGUCUCCUUAAGCAACACACAUUAACACAAGCCCUUCAAAAUGUCUGUUGUCUUUACAUAUAACUUGUCUGUACAAAAACUUCACUAUAACGCCAUUUAGCAUACCAGACACACUUGUGGUCUAGAUGGUUUGCUUUAUUUUUUUAGAAAAAACUAAUAUAUAAUUAUUUAUCCAAAAAAAACUAAAUCAGUCUAUUAAAAUAAACCAGGACUGUGAGACCUAUGGAAGUUCUCAUAUUUUUUGUGUAGUUAGUGAUGGCCAUAUAAGUUUAGAAUUUGUUUGCUUUAGUUAUUUAGAGAGGAUCAUCAAAAUAAAUCGAGGAAUUGUAAUAGACCAUUCAGAGUAAUUUCUAGGGAACAAUUUUUUUUGUGCUUCUGUAAAAUGAUUCAAACGUUUAUCUGAGAAAUACUACACCCAACAUGAUGCGGCGUAAUUUUCUAGUGCCGUGUUCACUGUUUGCUUGCCACAAAAAAGAAAAUGUGUGGGUUUUUUCUUCGUCUUCACUCAGCUCCAAACGAGGCUCAAUCAGUAAUUACAGUCUACAUGUACUCUCAUUCAUGCUAAACAGCAAACUUAAAUUUAGUCUUAAAGCAAAAAAAUACUAAGACAAAUAUAGCAUUUUGUUUGGUUAUUUAUUUAUUAGGGAGACAUAAAAAAUCAGUAUUUGCUAUAAAAAAAUUUUUUUUCCUUAAUUACAUAUGCAAGUGACCUCACCCGUUGUAUUCCAGUACUGUAAGAUGUUUAAAACUAUCGUAAUGUAACAUUUUGGCAAUCCUUCCCUUUAGUAGUUAUUCUAAAUAAAUAAAUAAUGGCCGUAAUUUGGUUAGAACCUGUGUAAGCAGCCCUACUACAGUAUAUACAUUUCUUAAUUUUAAAUGAACAAAGCACAAUUAACAAAGGACUCCACCCAUAUCCCUUAUUUCUAAUACUUUUUUUUAGAUUUCUUCUGGGACUUUGUAUGUUUGGAUAUUGUUGCAUAUAUUCUCAAAAUCUGUAUAACCUCUCAUUCAUCAGCAGUGUAGUACUUCUAGUCUAGUGUUUAGCUUCAUAGUGAUAUGUGAAGACCAUGUUCACUCACUGUCUUUCUCACUGCAGGGGCCUCGGGCAACUGAUGGAGGCUGAGUUCCACACCGUCACAAAUAAGGUCAUUGGUUAAGUGUAAUCUAUGCUCCACUACAUGUAAAACCUGUAUGAACAGUGUUAUGGAGUGUGAGCAGCAGGCCAGCUGAUCUUCACGUUCAAGUACUACAUGGCACGUGACAGAGGGAAGUUAUCAAGUUCAGCACACGGAUUCUUCGGGUCAUUUAUCCGGGUAGCACGUGUGCUCCUUUUGAAUAAUCUGAAUAGCAAAACUUAAGUUCCAGUAAAGAGACUGACGUGUGUAUCCCGUAUCCCUGAAGUCAUCUUCAGACAGGGUGUGCGUUUCACUCAGUUUAUCACUGUCGCAUCUUAUUGGCUUGUUGCUAAUAGCGGCUCUGAUUCAGGACGGACGUCUGCAAGCUGAUCACACAACACAAGUGGCUGUGAAUGGAUCCGUGUUUUUGUCUGGGAAACGUACACCAUCAAUAAAUAAAAUGUUUGUAAACCUUU